UACGUAGGGGGCAAGCGUUGUCCGGAUUUAUUGGGCGUAAAGAGCGUGUAGGCGGCCAGGUAGGUCAGCUGUGAAAACUCGAGGCUCAACCUCGAGACGCCGGUUGAAACCAUCUGGCUAGAGUCCGGAAGAGGAGAGUGGAAUUCCUGGUGUAGCGGUGAAAUGCGCAGAUAUUAGGAAGAACACCCGUGGCUAAGGCGGCUCUCUAGUACGGUACUGACGCUGAGACGCGAAAGCGUGGGGAGCGAACAGG
rnacentral:rRNA from 1 species